rnacentral:rRNA from 1 species
CAGCAGCCGCGGGAAUACGUAGGGUGCAAGCGUUAAUCAGAAUUACUGGGCGUAAAGCGUGCGCAGGCGGUUUGUUAAGACGGAUGUGAAAUCCCCGGGCUCAACCUGGGAACUGCAUUCGUGACUGGCAAGCUAGAGUAUGGCAGAGGGGGGUGGAAUUCCACGUGUAGCAGUGAAAUGCGUAGAGAUGUGGAGGAACACCGAUGGCGAAGGCAGCCCCCUGGGCCAAUACUGACGCUCAUGCACGAAAGCGUGGGGAGCAAACAGGAUUAGAUACCCGUGUAGUCCCUGUCUCUUAUAC